rnacentral:rRNA from 1 species
UGGGGAAUUUUGGACAAUGGGCGCAAGCCUGAUCCAGCCAUGCCGCGUGCAGGAUGAAGGCCUUCGGGUUGUAAACUGCUUUUGUACGGAACGAAAAGACUCCUUCUAAUAAAGUGGGUCCAUGACGGUACCGUAAGAAUAAGCACCGUCUAACUACGUGCCAGCAGCCGCGGUAAUACGUAGGGUGCGAGCGUUAAUCGGAAUUACUGGGCGUAAAGCGUGCGCAGGCGGUUAUAUAAGACAGAUGUGAAAUCCCCGGGCUCAACCUGGGAACUGCAUUUGUGACAGUAUAGCAGGAGUACGGCGAAGGGGGAUGGAAUUACAAGUGUAGCAGUGAAAUGCGUAGAUAUGCGGAGGAAAACAGAUGGCGAAGGCAAUCCACUGGGCCUGUACUGACACUCAUGCACGAAAGCGUGGGGAGCAAGCA